UAUCCUGGCUCAGGAUGAACGCUAGCGGCAGGCCUAAUACAUGCAAGUCGGACGGGAUAGAAGAGCUUGCUUUUCUUGAGAGUGGCGCACGGGUGCGUAACACGUAUGUAACCUACCUUAAUCUGGGGGAUAGCCUCUCGAAAGAGAGAUUAACACCGCAUAACAUUAUUGAAUAGCAUUAUUUAAUAAUCAAAUAUUUAUAGGAUUAAGAUGGGCAUGCGGAACAUUAGCUAGUUGGUGUGGUAACGGCAUACCAAGGCUACGAUGUUUAGGGGAUCUGAGAGGAUGACCCCCCACACUGGUACUGAGACACGGACCAGACUCCUACGGGAGGCAGCAGUAAGGAAUAUUGGUCAAUGGACGCAAGUCUGAACCAGCCAUGCCGCGUGCAGGAAGACGGCCCUACGGGUUGUAAACUGCUUUUGCAGGGGAAUAAACCUUCGUAUGUAUACGAAGCUGAAUGUACUCUGAGAAUAAGGAUCGGCUAACUCCGUG
rnacentral:rRNA from 1 species